rnacentral:rRNA from 1 species
UACGUAGGGUGCGAGCGUUGUCCGGAAUUACUGGGCGUAAAGCGCUCGUAGGUGGUUUGUCGCGUUGUUCGUGAAAACUCACAGCUUAACUGUGGGCGUGCGGGCGAUACGGGCAGACUGGAGUACUGCAGGGGAGACUGGAAUUCCUGGUGUAGCGGUGGAAUGCGCAGAUAUCAGGAGGAACACCGGUGGUGUAGACGGCUCUCUGGACCGUAACUGACGCUGAAGCACGAAAGCGUGGGUAGCAAACGGG